rnacentral:lncRNA from 1 species
GGUAUACUUCUAAAUUCAUGACCCUCUGAAAAAGUUCAUCAAAAUCUGCACUCCUCUUAAUCGGAGUAAAUUUUUGCUCAACAGCUUGCCCAAAUUGACUUUGAUCCAUGUAUGAGUGAGGUUCCCACCAGUGGUUGAAAUCAUUUUGGUAGAAUUGAGUGCCCAUAUAGUCAAAAUCUUGUCCAUACUGCAUCCUGCAAACAUUAGGAACAAAAACCCUAGUAGCACUUUUUUUUUAAAAAAAAAAAAGAAAAAAAUAAAAAAAUAAAAAGAUAAUAAGUUAAGAUAUAUACAAUCAAGUCAAAUUUAAUCAGUUUACACUACUAGAUAAGUUAAACCACGAGUCCCCAGCAACGGCGCCAAAAACUUGUUAAGCCACUGGC